GCAAGUCGAGGGGUAGCAGGGUUUAGUUUACUAGAUUGCUGACGACCGGCGCACGGGUGAGUAACGCGUAUACAAUUUACCUUUUACUGGAGGAUAGCCAAGAGAAAGUUUGAUUAAUACUCCAUAGUAUCAUUUGGUCACCUGAUCGAGUGAUUAAAGUUACGGCGGUAAAAGAUGAGUAUGCGUCCUAUUAGAUAGAUGGUAAGGUAACGGCUUACCAUGGCGACGAUAGAUAGGGGUCCUGAGAGGGAGAUC
rnacentral:rRNA from 1 species